rnacentral:rRNA from 1 species
ACGGGAGGCAGCAGUGAGGAAUAUUGGUCAAUGGGCGGAAGCCUGAACCAGCCAUCUCGCGUGCAGGACUACGGCCCUACGGGUCUUAAACUGCUUUUAUGGGGGGAUAAAGUCGGGCAUUCGUGUCCGUUUGCAGGUACCCCAUGAAUAAGGAUCGGCUAACUCCGUGCCAGCAGCCGCGGUAAUACGGAGGAUCCGAGCGUUAUCCGGAUUUAUUGGGUUUAAAGGGAGCGUAGGCGGGCCUUUAAGUCAGUGGUCAAAGCGUGUGGCUCAACCAUACCACGCCGUUGAUACUGGAGGCCUUGAGUGCACAUAAGGAUGGUGGAAUUCAUGGUGUAGCGGUGAAAUGCUUAGAUAUCAUGAAGAACUCCGAUUGCGAAGGCAGCUGUCCGGGGUGUAACUGACGCUAAUGCUCGAAAGUGCGGGUAUCAAACAGGAUUAGAUACCCUGGUA